rnacentral:tmRNA from 1 species
GGGGGCGAUCUUGGUUUCGACGGAUAUUACGAAACUUGAGGUGCAUGUCGAGCAGGUAAGAAACUCGUUAAACUUUUUGCAGACUAUUAGUUGCCAAUCAAGAAGACAACUACGCAUUAGCGGCCUAAAAAACCGGCUAUGCCUCCUCUCUUAGGGUGCUUGUGACUUAAGAAGAGGAGUCGAUUAACAAGCUCGCGUGCGGGUAUAUCCGAAGCCUAAGCGUUAAAUGUAUUUUCGGAGAAGCCGACUGCAGACCUGUUCGCCGGUCGUAGACGGUGUGAUUCAAGACGAACUAAAAAGGAAGUACCGAGAGCAGAGGAUAUGCGGACGCGGGUUCAAUUCCCGCCGCCUCCACCA